rnacentral:rRNA from 1 species
CGUGGGUAACCUGCCCAAGAGAUCGGGAUAACACCUGGAAACAGAUGCUAAUACCGGAUAACAACAGAUGAUGCCUAUCAACUGUUUAAAAGAUGGUUCUGCUAUCACUCUUGGAUGGACCUGCGGUGCAUUAGCUAGUUGGUAGGGUAACGGCCUACCAAGGCGAUGAUGCAUAGCCGAGUUGAGAGACUGAUCGGCCACAUUGGGACGUGAGACACGGCCCAAACUCCUACGGGAGGCAGCAGGG